rnacentral:rRNA from 1 species
AUUUAAGCAUAUAAGUAAGCGGAGGACAAGAAACUAACAGGAUCCCCAUAGUAAUGGCGAAUGAACCGGGAUAAACUCAGCAUGGAAAUUGGGGCCUUUGGCUUUGACUUGUAAUCUGGUGAGGCAUUGCCAACAGAGGCGCAUAUGUAAGUCUCUUGGAAAAGAGCAUCAACGAAGGUGAGAGUCCUGAUUGUCAUGUGCAGCCCCCCUGUGCACGGUGUGCCUUCUAAGAGUCACGUUCCUUGGGAUUGGAGCGCAAAUUGGGUGGUAACUUUCAUCUGAAGUUAAACAAUGGUUUGGGACCGAUAGGAAACAAGUACCAUGAGGGAAAGGUGAAAAGGACUUUGGAAAGAGAGUUAAAAGUGCCUGAAAUUGCUGAAGGGGAAGCGAAUGGAACCAGUAGUGCUGGGUGAGAUUGUCACAUGCUACAAGGAUUGGUUGCUGCCACAACGCAAGUGUGAUGGCAAUUUGUGAAUUGCUAGUGUGUGGUGUGUCUUACCUAGUGGGUCAUUGUGGGUUUAUGCAUUAAGAUAAGUCAAAGCAAGCGGGAGCAAGUUUACGAGUUUGUGAAUGUGUGUUGUUAUGCUUGUGCGUAAGCUUUAGUGUUUGUCUGGCUGCAGGGCUGUCCAUCCUCGAGCUGAGGGUUGCGAUGAGCAUAACCUUCUGCACAGACCUUGGCGAAAUGGUGUCCUUA